GGGAAUAUUGCACAAUGGGCGAAAGCCUGAUGCAGCAACGCCGCGUGAGCGAUGAAGGCCUUCGGGUCGUAAAAUUCUGUUAUAAGGGAAGAAAGGUGAUAGGAGGAAAUGACUAUCAAUUGACGGUACCUUAUGAGAAAGCCACGGCUAACUACGUGCCAGCAGCCGCGGUAAUACGUAGGUGGCCAGCGUUAUCCGGAAUUAUUGGGCGUAAAGAGCGCGCAGGUGGUUAAUUAAGUCUGAUGUGAAAGCCCACGGCUUAACCGUGGAGGGUCAUUGGAAACUGGUUGACUUGAGUGCAGAAGAGGAGAGUGGAAUUCCAUGUGUAGCGGUGAAAUGCGUAGAUAUAUGGAGGAACACCAGUGGCGAAGGCGGCUCUCUGGUCUGUAACUGACGCUGAGGCGCGAAAGCGUGGGGAGCA
rnacentral:rRNA from 1 species